GUGGCAGACGGGUGAGUAACACGUGGGAACGUACCUUUCGGUUCGGAAUAAUUCAGGGAAACUUGGACUAAUACCGGCUACGCCCUUCGGGGGAAAGAUUUAUCGCCGAAAGAUCGGCCCGCGUCUGAUUAGCUAGUUGGUGAGGUAAAGGCUCACCAAGGCGACGAUCAGUAGCUGGUCUGAGAGGAUGAUCAGCCACAUUGGGACUGAGACACGGCCCAAACUCCUACGGGAGGCAGCAGUGGGGAAUAUUGGACAAUGGGCGAAAGCCUGAUCCAGCCAUGCCGCGUGAGUGAUGAAGGCCUUAGGGUUGUAAAGCUCUUUUGUCCGGGAAGAUAAUGACUGUACCGGAAGAAUAAGC
rnacentral:rRNA from 1 species